AAACAUUCCGCCUGGGGAGUACGGUCGCAAGAUUAAAACUCAAAGGAAUAGACGGGGACCCGCACAAGUGGUGGAGCAUGUGGUUUAAUUCGAAGAUACGCGAAGAACCUUACCUAGCCUUGACAUAUUUAAGAACUCCGUAGAGAUACAGAGGUGCCUUCGGGAGCUUUCUUACAGGUGCUGCACGGCUGUCGUCAGCUCGUGUCGUGAGAUGUUGGGUUAAGUCCCGCAACGAGCGCGACCCUCGUCACUAGUUACUAACGGUUCGGCCGAGGACUCUAGUGAGACUGCCUUCGUAAGGAGGAGGAAGGUGAGGACGACGUCAAGUCAUCAUGGCCCUUACGGCUAGGGCAACACACGUGCUACAAUGGCCAGGACAGUGAGACGCAAUACCGCGAGGUGGAGCAAAUCUAUAAACCUGGUCUCGGUUCGGAUUGUUCUCUGCAACUCGAGAACAUGAAGCUGGAAUCACUAGUAAUCGUAGAUCAGCUAUGCUACGGUGAAUACGUUCCCGGGUCUUGUACUCACCGCCCGUCACACCAUGGGAGUUGAUUUCACCCGAAGCGGGGAAGCUAAACUGGCUACCCUCCACGGUGGAAUUAGCGACUGGGGUGAAGUUCUAGCAACAUA
rnacentral:rRNA from 1 species